CUCCUUUGACGUUAGCGGCGGACGGGUGAGUAACACGUGGGUAACCUACCUAUAAGACUGGGAUAACUUCGGGAAACCGGAGCUAAUACCGGAUAAUAUUUCGAACCGCAUGGUUCUAUAGUGAAAGGUGGUUUUGCUAUCACUUAUAGAUGGACCCGCGCCGUAUUAGCUAGUUGGUAAGGUAACGGCUUACCAAGGCGACGAUACGUAGCCGACCUGAGAGGGUGAUCGGCCACACUGGAACUGAGACACGGUCCAGACUCCUACGGGAGGCAGCAGUC
rnacentral:rRNA from 1 species